GAGUUUGAUCCUGGCUCAGAGCGAACGCUGGCGGCAGGCCUAACACAUGCAAGUCGAGCGCCCCGCAAGGGGAGCGGCAGACGGGAGAGUAACACGUGGGAACGUACCCUUCAGUUCGGAAUAACCAAGGGAAACUUUGGCUAAUACCGAAUACGUCCGUAAGGAGAAAGAUUUAUCGCUGAAGGAUCGGCCCGCGUCUGAUUAGCUAGUUGGCGGGGUAACGACCCACCAAGUCUGCGAUCAGUAACUGGUGUGAGAGCACGACCAGUCACACGGGCACUGAGACACGGGCCCGACUCCUACGGGAGGCAGCAGUAAGGAAUAUUGGUCAAUGGACGCAAGUCUGAACCAGCCAUGCCGCGUGGAGGAUUAAGGCCCUCUGGGUUGUAAACUCCUUUUAUCUGGGAAGAAAUGCAUUUUUUCUAAAGUGCUGGACGGUACCAGAGGAAUAA
rnacentral:rRNA from 1 species